CUCUUCUCCUCCCCGGAAAGCAGGAAACUGCCCCCCAAAGUCCCUGUGAAGUACCAAUGGGCCUCCCACAGGUGCAGUAUGGCUUGUGGCAGGUGGUGGUGUAUCUCAGGGCUGAUCCCAGUUGCUGGAAGCCUCUGGAUUCCAUGAGGCUUCUUCUGCCAGGACUGCUGUGCUGCGGUUUGGAAGGCAGUGGGAGGGAGAGGGUUGGGCAGCUCCUUCCCAAUUCUCUCCCACUUGCCCAGGCCUGCACCUCUGAACAGCGGCAGCGGACACGGCAGGACCUGAAGCACAGGCCCUGCACAAGGCAACCCCCAGUCCCUCCUUCAGCCUUAACCCUUCAGCCCUUCCGUUCUCUUCCACUUGCAGGGAAUCCGAAUUCCCACCUUCGGUUCCUUCCACAUCGUCUCCAAACAGAUCAAGGCUAAGGACGGGACCCUGGUUGUGCAGUGGCCUGCGUUUUGCCUGGCCAGGAACCUUCUGGGCGUCCACAAUCUGACGGGUGAUGAGGAAUUCCUGCCAGGCCAUAAGGAGGCGGAGUCCCUCAAGUACACCGAGGUGGCCGCAGCUGCAUCUGUGUCCCGGCAGAGAGGGGAAGCCUGCAUAUGCAGCACCACAUCUCUCAUCUCCCGCUGCCUGAGGAACGGGGAGAACAUUGCCUUUGUCCUGAAGGACAUAGGAGUCCUCCUCAUAGAAGGGGCACAAGUUCAAAUGAAAUUCUACUACGACUUCCUGGAGAAGGUCUGUGGGAAAGUGAACCUAGAAACAGCCGUUUUCAAGGUCCCCUGGCUGCUGGACAUGGUGGUGUCCCGGGUGGCAGCAGUGGCCUCCCUGUCGCGCUCUG